rnacentral:rRNA from 1 species
AACACAUGCAAGUCGAACGGAAAUAUAUGGAAGCCUAGCGAAGUAUAUUUUAGUGGCGGACGGGUGAGUAACGCGUGGAUAACCUACCUUACAUUGGGGGAUAGCCUUUCGAAAGGGAGAUUAAUACCGCAUAAGACAGUAACUAGGCAUCUAGUAGCUGUUAAAGAUUUAUCGAUGUAAGCUGGGCAUGCGUCCAAUUAGUUAGUUGGCGAGGUAAUGGCUCACCAAGACGAUGAUUGGUAGGGGAACUGAGAGGUCCAUCCCCCACACGGGCACUGGGAUACGGGCCAGACUCCUACGGGAGGCAGCAGUAGGGAAUAUUGGGCAAUGGGCGCAAGCCUGACCCAGCCAUGCCGCGUGCAGGAAGAAGGCGUUAUGCGUUGUAAACUGCUUUUAUACAGGAAGAAACGACCCUUGCGAGGGGCAUUGACGGUACUGUAUGAAUAAGCACCGGCUAACUCCGUGCCAGCCGCCGCAGUAAUAC